AUACGAAACAAAAAAGAAUAUUACAAAUUGAAGUCUAAUGGAUCUUAGGAAAUCGUCUGCGUGCUUUAUCUUUCAUCUGUCUUUUAUAGUUCUCAGUAGCAAAGUGCUAGCAACUUCAAAGGCAAAAAGAUACAUUUUAUCGUUUCGCCGAAGCAAGUUCUUUAAAUUGUUGCCGGGCGAACCGAGCGACCGAACGAGUGCUGCACUGUCAAUGGAAUUCUGUUGGCUAAAUUCGGUUGGGUUUCUUUUGAAUGCCUAGAAAAUUGUUAAGGUUUAGUUCCGCUUAGUGAGGCCUGCCAAAUGUAUUGCAAAACCAAACAAAACCGGCGACCAGUUGGGCCAAAUAGCUUUUGCAGACUUGUCAUAUGAGCCAAGAGAGGUUUGUCGUUAUGACAGAAUCAUAAAUAAUGCUGCCGUAAGGCAAGUGAAACUUUAAGCUCAAGUGAUACGACUGUGCAAGUGCGAAAUUCGAUAAGUGCAAAAAUUAAAUAAACAUGUACACACUCACACACAUUUAUAUAUA